rnacentral:lncRNA from 1 species
AAGUUAAAUGUUACCGGAUUCAAAUAUCAGACACUAUUGUUGAAGCAGCUUGAACCAUCUUCUAUUUCAAAUCAAAUACAAAUAUCAAGCUUUUAUCACAUUAUACAAAACAUUCAUUUUGAUUAAAAACAAAUUCAAGUCAUUUUAAACACUUUAGAAUCAUUUUUAAAUAAGUUCUAGGUGCUUGGGGAUGAUCGAGACCAAGUUCGAGUCUCCAGGAGUCAAAACAAGUAAAAAUAGGGGAGAGAUCCCUAUCUGCCAGACGUGUAUCUGUAGAAGUUCCUGCUACUGAUUUACUUGUACCGAUACAUCUUACCACUUGCAUUGGUAGAAGUUUGUCAGGAUCCAAAAAAUGACCCUAAAACACACCUAAUUUGAUCUAAAACAAUACCAAAUCAUUUCUAAACAUUAUGAAACACUAAAUACAAGUUUUAAACACCAUUUAAGCAUCUUUAAACACAUUCAAACAUAAGCCUUCAAACAUGAAGAUCACUUUACCAAUUUCAUACUUCAAUUUUAUCUACUUGACAUGGAAGCAACCAAUGACUGAUAGCAUAGCAUUAAUUUAAGAUCAUGCAUCUCAACUUAAUCACAUAAUCAUAUCAUCGAACACUUAGAUUAUUGAACAUGUUUAACUUGUAUUUUUUUAAGCAUAGAAGAUACCAUGGCAUCAUAAUUGACUCCAAAAACUAAAUUACAACACUAGAUACAUGCCGACUCUAUUUUAGCAUUCAACUUACGAUUCAAACAUUACUGAGCUGAGAUUUGAAACCUGGAUGCUGCCAACCUUCUUGAAUCCACAAGACCUAAUUGAAACCUGCGCACAGAAACAAACAAAUCCACACACUAAACAAAAGAGCUCAAUGGUCUAACAUAAUUUGAAAACAAUGUAUAUAAUAAAAUUUAAACAUAUAAAUUUGAUAUAAAAUCAUUUUUAACAAGUGUAUAUCAAGGAAUCUUUGUUUCAUGUCCUUUACUAAAACUUUCAUACCAAAUUCACGCUCGAGUUAAGUCUCAUAUAACAUCAUCUCAUUAUGCCUUUAAUGCCAUGCACUAUCAUGUCUAGUAUCAUCAAUUAGAUUUAAGCAUAACAUCAAUACUAUCUCAAUUUAAUUAAUAAUCAUAUGGCAUUCUCAUACCACUAUUGAUAUCUCAACAUCAUGAUUCAAAAGGCAUUUCAUAUACAAAUAUUCAUUUUCUCAUUUCAUGAUCGGAUCCAUUGAUUCAUUUUAUAACCAUAUCGGCCCUCAGGGCCCAUAAUAUCCGAAUCGCAUGGUUUUUCACGUGCUAUCUUUCCAUACUUUAAUAAUUCAUUUUCAAUUUCCACGAUCAACAUUUAACAUUAAACUUUUAAACUUAUUAAGCAAAUCACAUGAUUUAUAAUCCCUAUUAACCAAACACAAAGUCAAGAUGGAUACACGGAUCAACCAAUCAUUACACCAAAAUAGCUGACACUCAAUGCAUCAUCGGUACGUCCGAAAUAAUGCGCGCUCCGCGCCUCAUCAGUAUUAGACCUGUCCAUGGGCCAGGCCGGGCUGGGUUCGGGCCGGGCCCACAAAAAAUUUUCAGCCCGUUUACUAGGCCCGGGCCCGGCCCAAAAUAUGGGCCCGAGAUUUUGUCCAGGCCCGGCCCGAAGAAAAAAUACGGGGCCCGGCCCGGCUCAGCCCGUUUUUAAUUAAAAUUAAAAUUAAAAUUAUUUUUUUAAUAAAAUUAAAACUAAUUGUUAUUAAAAUUAAUUGUUAGUAAAAUUAUCAAAUUAUUAAUUGUUAAUUGUAUUAAUUGUUGUAAUAAAAUCUAACAUUUGAUUAGUAAAUUUAUCAAAUUAUUAAUUGUAUUAAUUGUUGUAAUAAAAUCUAAUAUUUGAUUAGUAAAUUUAUCAAAUUAUUAAUUGUAUUAAUUGUUGUAACAAAAUCUAACAUUUGAUUAGUAAAACAAACUUGAUGUUUUAUUAUUAUUAUUUUGUAACACUAGUCAAGGAAAUGAAAGUAAAUAAACUUAAAAUAAAAAAAACUAUUAUAUUUUAAAAAUAAAAAAUAUAUAUUUAAUAUUUUCGGGCCGGGCCGGGCCCGGGCCAAAAAAUCUUGCCCAAGGCCCGGCCCAUUUUUUAAACGGGCCUAAAAUUUUGCCCAAGCCCAUAUUUCGGGCCUAUAUUUUUACCCAAACCCUCCCAUAUUUUGGUCGGGCCGGGCCGGGCCGCCCGGCCCAUGGACAGGUCUAAUCAGUAUGAACCGAAGUAAUAAAUGUAAAUGCGCCUAGCACCUCAUUGGUAAAAACCAAAAUAAACCCCAUACACUAAUCCUAUAUCAUGCCAACUAUAUCUAACUCUAUCCGAGACCGUUAAUUGUAUUCAAUAUUUCAAAGUAUAUAUGUUCCACAUGUUAUUAACUUUUAUAUAUCAAAUUCAUCUCUCUCUAAAAUCAUUUAUCAUUUCAUAACAUUACUAUUCUUUUACAUCUCAUAUACAAUCAAUAUGGCAAUUCACAUAUCAAUUUCAUGCUUUUAUAUAUCAUCUACUUAAGUAUUCAUACUUUCACAUAUCAAUAUCACAUUUAUCUCAUAGUUACAUUUUCACAUCAAGAUACGCAUACAUACAAAUACACAAACUAUCAUCACACUAUAAUCAUUCAUCUUAUAUACUAUCAUCACAGUUUUCACAAGUUCACAACCAUAUAAUACUUACCAAAUCAUGAGACAAGUAGGGUCAUUACCUUAAUCAAGCUAUUUUGUAACAAGUCAUAUAUAUAAUAUUCAAAUCAUGAAACCACAAACCGGAUAAAGCUACUCGUCUACGGUUUCCGCCUUUCCUUUAUCCCGCGACGUCCCAACGCCGUCUUUAGCUACGUACGAUAAUUCGAUUAUUGACGCGAUAUUAGUUUUCAUACAAACACAUCAAUUAAACAUAAAUUGCAUUUUAUUCAUUUUAGCCCCUAUAAGCCCUAAUAUCCGAAAUGCUUGUAUUUUUCGAUAUCUAAUAUCAAAUCAAAAUUUAAUUUCAUAUUUUUUCAUUAGGGACCCAAAGCUUUCAAUCUACAACAAAAUUUUCUAACCACUUUCACUCUAUUUAAUUUGAUCCCUAAUGUCAUAAAAUUAAUUAUAGGUUUUAGUUGAAUUUCUAAUCAAAUCCAACACUUUUCUCUACUUUCUAACUUAGUCCUAAUAUAAUUUAAGCUAAUCCUUCAAAAAUCUAUUACUAUCAAUUUUAAUUUCAUGAAAACUCAUUAAUGGAAACUUGGAUUUAACUUGACAAUUUGGAAAUCUAAAACAUGUGCAAGACUAAGCUUAGUUGAUAAAAUAUCUAUAAUAAUCUCAUGAAAAUAACUUGGUUACCUUGGUUAUUUGGGACCGAAAUUUGAAGAAAACUUAACCUUCUUUUUCUCUUUUCUAUUCGGUUUGAGAGGUAGGAGAUAAUAUUUUUGUUUUUCUCUCACCCACUUGCUCGCCAUAUAUAUAUAGAUUAACAUGGUUAUUAACUUAGUUAACUAAUAAUUAAC